CCAAUUACAAGUUCAUUCUAAAUUUUCUAUAUAUACAGUGUUCACUUUACCUGAUUGGAUCAUGAUGUAAUAGAUGGCGGUCCAUGCUAGCAACAUUAUGAUGAUGAUAUUUAUAGAGCGCCGUCAAAUUCCACAGCGCUUUACAACAAUAUACUUAAUGUAACAAUCUGUAAAUGCUCAACACCUGAUAUAAACAAGACCAUAGUUUGUGCCUAUUUUAAUACAUACAUACCAGGUUUUCAUGAUACCGGGCACACGCCUUAGACAUACACCAGUGACUUUCGAUUCUAUACUGGAGGAAGCCCAAAAUUAACACCCCGAUGCCACAGACAUUUAUAACAUUAUGUGGGGUACAGUUGACACAUUCUGACAACUAGUUAAAAGGCCAGUAAGACUUUAGCAUUUUUGAUGGAUCUCUGGACAAUUUAAUGUAGUUGUUCACAUGUCUAUAGCCUGUCCCUGCAGGCUUUUUGCUGUAAACACUACCUGUUCUGAGAAAAGGUGUAUCAGGUGUUGAGCAUUUACUCAGGUGGCUACUAGAAGUGCUUACUGGGUAAGUGAUGCACAGUUUGCCGCAUUCAUUGCAUCUGUAUGAGGAGAUGUUGAUUGGCAUGCCUCCAUGGCUGAGAUCCUCAGAAUUGACAAUCUCAGCCAAUCCAAUGGUUUUCCAUACGAAUAAGGUUUUGCAGCUUUUUAAAGGGACACUGUAGGCACCCAGACUACUUCAGCUCAUUGAAGUGGUUUGGGUGCAAACUCCCAUCACCCUUAACCCUGAGCAUGUAAUUAUUACAGUUUUAUAAACUUGCAGGGUUAAGUCCUCCUCUAGUGGCUGCUAUGCAUGAGGACUUCCAGCUUCACUGGAAUCCCCAUAGGAAAGAAUGGAAUAAUGCCUUCCUAUGGGGAAAUCCUAAUGCGAGCAUUUGGUCUCACCGGCCAGAGGCAGGAGGAGGUGGAGCUGAGCCAGCACUGGACCCAGGUAAGUGACAGAAGGGGUUAUUAACCUUGACUAGUUUGUUUUCCUGGCACUAUAGUUUCGCUUUAAGGGUGGCUUUAACACUACAGGGUCAGGAGUACAUAUUUGUAUUUCUGACCCUAUAGCACAGAUAGGAAACCUUCGGCACUCCAGAUGUUAUGGACUAUAU